AUGGCGGUGUCACGGCGGACGGGGUGGAUCGCCGCCGGCCUCCUGGCGCGGCUGCUCAUGAUGGCCGUCCUGCUCAUGUCCGUGCGCUUCGUUCUGGCCAACUACAUCCAUUGGGACCAUACACAGGGCGUCUACAAGCUUCAGAGCUACACUUAUGUGGUCGCGUCCGCCGUCGUGGGGACGGCGGGGAGCGUGCUGCAGAUACCCGUCGCCAUAUACCUGCUGUGCAAGAGCAAAAGGGCAAUACCCAGCGCCAUGAUCCUCGACAUCAGCAUGCACGCCAACAUAGUAAGCUGCUGCUCUGGCUAUGGCUCAUAUCGAUUCCCUUUGGUCAAGUUCAUGCCAACGAUUCCUAGACAAGGUUAUGAACUUAUGAUGCUUGGUGCGCAGGCGAUCAGCCUCGUGCUGGCAAGCGGGGUCGGCGCCGGGUUCGGCGCGACCAACGACGUUAUGCGCUACGUCCGGGCGGGCGAAUGGGACGGCAGGCAGGAAGAGAAGCAGGCUAUCGUCAACUACUUGAACAGGGCGAUCAUCCCCGUCGUGUUCCUCCUCGUAGGCAUGGUCCUGUCCAUCUGCGCCACCGUCGUCUCCGCCAGGCUCCGCGCCAGGGCGACAAACGAUUCUGAAGGUGGUGUCUGA
rnacentral:rRNA from 1 species